GCGGACGGGUGAGUAAUGCUUGGGAAUCUGCCUAGUCGAGGGGGACAACAGUUGGAAACGACUGCUAAUACCGCAUACGACCUACGGGUGAAAGGGGGCCUCUUCUUGAAAGCUCUCGCGACUAGAUGAGCCCAAGUGGGAUUAGCUUGUUGGUGAGGUAAAGGCUCACCAAGGCGACGAUCCCUAGCUGGUCUGAGAGGAUGAUCAGCCACACUGGAACUGAGACACGGUCCAGACUCC
rnacentral:rRNA from 1 species